AAAGUGCAUGUGUUGGGGGGGCCAGCAUCGCCUUCUGUGUCCGCCGUGUCUUCGGCUUGGAACUAAAAAUGUGGCUGACAAUCACCAAAGCUCGGCUCUCAGAUGCCUCACUUUGCUUCCUCUUCCGCCUUCCUUAUUUUCGACUUCUUCUCUUUCGCAUAUAUUCAGCAGAAUCUCCAUAGCCCUUCACCAUAACUGGCUUCAAGAAAUACGAGCACUGCUCUCUCUGUCUCUCGCUACAACUUACUGCGAUUUCUCUCUGCUUGGAUCUUCGUCUCUGGAUCUGGUGAUCUGGUGGUCGACUGUUGCUCUAAUGGUGGAUUUGUUUGCCGAUUUCGAAAUCUCUGCUUCUGCCUCUUCGGAAACUGAAAGAGCUGGAAAUUCUUGAGGAACCUCUGAAGGGAAGUUGUUGAUAACAAACGUGGUUUAUAUACUCUAACUUGUCAUGUCUGAUCGUGUUGUACAAACAUAUAAUGACACUGAUGGACCAACUGGCCAAUCUAUUCGAUCUUACCAAUCCGCUUGGAUGGCUCAUUGGACAAGAACAAGCUGUAAGGCAGCUCCUAAGGUUCAUAAUAGUUUGUUUGAUCACUGUGAGAAUAGGGAAGAUGAUCGUGAUGCCAUGCAACAUCCUUUACCAAGCACAUUAGAGAUUGCGUCUGAUGUUUCUAAAUGUGCUAAAGGAUUUAGAGAGGUUGCUGAAGCCAGAACAGUUAAUACCAUGAAGGAGGGUCUGCCAAUGAGUAUGAAGGCGUCAAAAAAUGAAAGAUUAGAUCACCUGACCUUUCCGAUAUUCAAUCCUCGCCAAAACAGAGAAAGCAUUUUGGCUCGAAAGAAUGAUCCAACUACUACUCAUAAACAAGUAUUAAGGUCUCAAGUAGAUUACAAAUCUGGAUAUGAUGCUACUAAUUUAGCUGCAAAAAAGAGCCAUUUUCCCUUGGUACUUGCAUGGGCUCCUCCUGAAGAGGGAACAUCAUCAAGAGAAUGUCAUUUUCAGCCUGAAGGUAUGGCACAGAAUCCUGAGCAUCAGCCACAGGUUCAUAACUUUAUCGAAAAGAAUAGCUUAGCUGUGUCAAAGUCUUUGCACGAUGAAUUUAUUGGGUCAAGUUCUAACAUUGUGCCAAAUCGAUUUAACAACGGAAGAACAUCAGUGCUGCCUUUCAUGAGUAACCAAGAAAGAGUCAAUCCGUCAAACUUCAUUUCGGCAUCAAAAGAACACUUCAAGGAUGUUAACCUUACACAAGUGGAACGUGAGCAUUAUAAUUAUGAGAGCUAUUCUGCGUUUUUUGUUUGUGAGAAGAAAAUGCAAGACCACCUAAAACCGGGAAAUUCUAAGUUUUCACUAUUUAGGCAAAAUGACAAGGAUCUGUUGUUGCAUGAUGCUUCCACUAGCAAUAAUGAAUUAGCACUAUUUCUUGAAGAACGGUGGCAGAAGAUGCAAAACCCAGAUGGUAUUGAAUCAUUUCCUAGCAGGAGUAGUCCUCUUAUUGUAGGAGAAUUGGAAAAGUUAAAUCAUAGAAGUUAUUCACAACAAAAAAUGCCAUGCUCUGCCUCUGCUCAUGAUGUGGAGACUACAAGGAUAUGCACUGCUGUGGAUUCUCUGGAUGGAUUAGGUGGAUGCCCUCCCAAAUUUUGUCAGACAACUCAUCAUGUGGUGAUCACAAAAAAAAAUGAUGAUAACUUGCCUAAAGGAGGUCCAAUUUUUAGGGACUCAAAAGUAUCCCCUGAAUUUACAGGAAAUACGUUGAAGGCUCUUCUCAAUUUAUCUCCAGGUUUUGGUUCCCAUGGUCGGCAUGGAGUGAAGCUUCAACCCAUAGAAGGCUCCAUUGACAGUCAAGGAAAAGAAGAUGUUGGAGAAGUCAGAAUUUCUGCAAUUAAUUCAAAGAAUGAGUCAUCUGCUGAAACUGAUACCAUGAAUAUGGAUGCUUUCCAGGAGGAGAACCAUCUUUCUGGUGCCACUUCAUCUCCAUUAAACAAGGAUGUUCUGAGAUCUCAGAAUCAACAAACAUCUGUGGCUACAGUUGCUCCAGCUAGAGAAUUUAGAGGUAGACUGCCAAAUUCUGACCUGCCUGAUAUGAACCAAGAGCUUCCUGCCCUUCCGGCUCCUGCAAGCUCAAUGGAUGAUAAGGAAGCAAGCACAUCAAGAACUCAGAGUUUUGAUGUGGACCACAUCCUUGCCCAUGCUGAGGAACCUAUACAUUCAAAAUCUAGUCCUUACCCAGAUGUCUCUUUGGAAGUUGACCCAAGCAGCAGAUGGGUUAAGCGUCUCAGGGUGGGUGCUUCAGAUUCUUUUGCACAUGGUACUAAGACCUCAAAAAUGGGAGAAACCUCAUCUAAUGAAAAGGUAAAUAAGUUCUUCAGCAAAAUUAUGAAACACAACAUGCCUAGCUCAGAAUUCACUCGGGGUAGGCGUCAUGGUAAAGAACCAAUGGAACUAGAUCAGACUGCAGUGUUGCUAAGAAAUGGUGAUUCCUCUUCCAUUGACUCAUUGAAAAAAAGUCAAGAUAUAACACUCUCUCAUUCUUGGAUUCGGAGGUGGUGUCGUAAUCGGUCUGCGACUCCAAAGAAGAAGCCUGACGCUGUGGUAGUUUGUGAACCACAAAGUUCAAAGGCAGCUUUGGACGAGCUUCAAAAGAAGCAGUUUCCAAGCAUUGCUGCAAUGGCAUUGAUGGGGAAGGCCAUGACCAGUUUUCAUCCAUGUGAAUUCAGGAAAAGGGGAUCUCUUGUAGUUUGGGAUGCCAAAGGGUUUCUGAGAUAAUUCUGGUGAACAAUUGGUGCUGCAAAUGAAGGAAAAGGAAUCUGUGGGAUCAUGCUGAUUCUCUUGGUGGUUUGACAUUUGUUUAACAAUGAGAAGAGGUGCCAUGUGCAUGUCAUAAUCAAUUAGUAGGCAGGUUGUGGAGUUUGAAAGCUCAAAUGCUGCAUCGCCAGACUGUUCUAGAGCAGAUUCAAAGAAACCUCCUCCAGUGAACCUUGAAUCUACACAAGGUGGAGCAAACUGGGUGAUCAUGUCUCUCACUGUGAGCACUCCUGUUAAGUGCUGCAGUUCAUCAACCAGAAAGCUGAAAUUACUCCUGGUCUCUGCCAAGUUUUUCAUGGCCUGCUUGAGAGUGUCAGUUUUCCUGUUGGUGACCGGCCAGUCCAUUCUUGGAAGGACGCUGUUUCUCAGACGGAGAAUCCCUGCUGAAACAAGAGCUCCCAGGUCUCCUUCAAUGGAUGCAUCGGCAUGUGACUUUCUUGCAUCCAAAUGAAUGAAUUCUUCAAUAGUUCGAGUCCUGUUGACAAAAUAAUCCCAUCAGAACUCCGUCUGGCUUUAGGAUUUUCUCUUCAUAACUGAGAAAAGAAAUGGAUGGAACUCACUUCCUACCGUGAAAGAGAUCAUCAUUGUCCAGAAGAAGAUGGAUGUCGCUGCUCCUCAAACUGCCGAUGAGCCUUUUAUUCUCUCUAUUCAGAACUGCAAUGGGGCAAGUUCGGUUUUUCCACAAGACAUGAAAACCCUCAGCGAUGCUUUGGUCUUCAUAUACAUGAAUGGCAUGGUCUUGUUCAAACCCGAAGAGAGAAAGAAAACAGGUGGGUGAUGGAGCAACUGGGCAUACUGGCAAACCGAAAUGAUAAAGAGUUGCUGUACCGAAACUCGGAUAGAGCCUUGUCUGCAAGGUUAUCAAACCACUCCAGUCCACUGGAUUGAAGAAGCAAUUGGAUCACUGCAUUCUACGAAAGGCAAGCAGUUAUUCUUCAAAGAAUGAGAAUCACUUUUCAUCAAAUAGGAAGUUAACUUGAUGCUAAAAUCCGGGUAAGGUUGAAGCAGAUGAACUACCUGGGUGACAAAGCCAAUGACUUUAGAGUUGGGCUGCUCCAUCACUGGCAAGAUUUGAAGCCGGUGAGUGGAAAGAAGCAGAAGGACAUGCAUUAGGGAGUCAUCUAGGGUUAUAGGGAAGAAGGGAUCCCACAGGAAUGACUUUGCUAGCACACCAAUCUGCUUGAUCAUUUCAUUCAACAGAAAACACAUCAAAUAAAAACAAUUAAAACAAUGCCACACUUAGCCAAUGUUUGGUUCCCAUGAAAAGAAGUAAUUCUUGUUCAUUUUUUCCCCAGAAACUGAUUAUUGUAGAUGCAACCGAUUCAACCAAAAGGAAAGAAAAAACACCUUAGUUUGGCCGAUGUGGGGGUUCUGAUCUAGCAUGGAGAAGAUCCCAUUGUUGCCAAUGUUAUAAUUGCCAUCCCCUUCAGCCUUUUCACUUUCCUGGGAAGCCAUUCUAUGAGUAUCAAUGGUUAUGGCCUCCAUAUAUAUAGGACUGGAAGAAAGAACAUCAACACCCAUGAUUUACCUCAAGAGACCAAAGAACCAUACUGGCAAAAUCAAUGAAACCCACAUACUGAUCAGAAAACCUUCUGGAGAUGGCAUUUGAGUCAUCUGAUGAUUCCAACACAUCUGCUAUAGGAGCUCCAAGCACAUUCUUCUCGUACAGAAAAUGAAUGGCAUCCCUCACAGAAUCCCCAGUUUUCAGUUCCAGAACUUGUGAAAAGGAAAUCCAAAUCUCAACAAGGGUGUCAAAUGAAUCAAACAGAAAAGGGACUCCACGAAUAUACACACACACAAAUAGAAUAGGUACCAGAGAGUGAAUUUUGAAGGCCGGGAAUGGAGCUGAUUGGGAUGUGAUCAAGAAAGACUUGGAGGGCAGUGCCAGAGUCGAGUUGGUUGGUGGGUUUAGAGAUGAGGGCAUCUUUCUUCUCAGCAAUACCACCUCCUCCACUUGCCCCAAAUCCAUCUUUUUCUUCAGCUAUCGAGUUGCAUUUCCCUGUUCUUAUUUACCCUUUUUUUUUAUAUAUUUUCCUCUGCUUUCUUCUCCAUGUGCUUCCAGUUUCAUGCAACAGCCAAGUGUCAAACUCCUAGAGUUCUACCACUGUCCUUCCUGAUAUUACUUUCCCCAUGAUCCUCCACGUGCAGUGAAGACCAUGUCUUCAGUUGGGACAGAAAUUUCUAUUCUUAGAAAAUAUGAUGUGCUAAUCAAACUCCUAGAACUUUGCAAUAAGAAAAACAAAACCAGGGGAAAGGUUUCUUGGUGUAGAAGUAGAAGCCAAUUUGAACCAGAGAAUGAAUCCGCUACUGGUGGUGUACCAGAUAUAUGAUAUUCACCUGAAAUCUCUCUAGAUUCAUAACUCCCUCCAUGUUGAAUAUGCCCAAGAAUUCAGGGCUUCGAUCAGUAUGGCAUAGAAUGGCACUCUGUGCUACACUACAGAAUUUUGGUUCUAAAUGGAGUUUCCAAGACUCCAUCUGUUGAAGGAAAGGGUUUCAUUCUGAAAGGAACCAGCAGCCCAGCUACUGGUUUUCUGUUUUCUGAUUACCGAUAAACUAGAUGUAAUCACAAAUCUCUGAAUCAAGAAAUGUCCCAUAAGAAGCAAGGAACUUUUUAUGCCAACUUCUCAAAGAAAAUAGUUAAUCCAGAAGAGGAAUGAUGGAUUUCUGAGCAUUUGAAGCAGAUUUUAGAUAGGCAAUCAGGUAGUUGUGGAGCUAUUUAUUCAUUAUCAAGGACAGAAAGUUUAAUACAAGGAUCAAGUUGACUCCUUAUUGUUAUCCCUCAUCAGAAGCAAAAGUUUUUUGAGCUUCAGCUCUCUCCUAUGGAUGGGCUCCUCUACAAACAAAGAAAGAAAG